rnacentral:rRNA from 1 species
UCGCGGCCUAUCAGCUUGUUGGUGGGGUGAUGGCCUACCAGGGCGGUGACGGGUAGCCGGCCUGAGAGGGUGGACGGUCACACUGGGACUGAGAUACGGCCCAGACUCCUGCGGGAGGCAGCAGUGGGGAAUAUUGCACAAUGGGCGGAAGCCUGAUGCAGCGACGCCGCGUGAGGGAUGGAGGCCUUCGGGUUGUGAACCUCUUUCGCCAGUGAUGAAGGCCUGUCUUUUUUGGGUGGGUUGACGGUAGCUGGGUAAGAAGCGCCGGCUAACUACGUGCCAGCAGCCGCGGUAAUACGUAGGGCGCGAGCGUUGUCCGGAAUUAUUGGGCGUAAAGGGCUCGUAGGCGGCUGGUCGCGUCUGUCGUGAAAUCCUCUGGCUUAACUGGGGGCUUGCGGUGGGUACGGGCCGGCUUGAGUGCGGUAGGGGAGACUGGAAUUCCUGGUGUGGCGGUGGAAUGCGCAGAUAUCAGGAGGAACACCGGUGGCGAAGGCGGGUCUCUGGGCCGUUACUGACGCUGAGGAGCGAAAGCGUGGGGAGCGAACAGGAUUAGAUACCCUGGUAGUCCACGCCGUAAACGUUGGGCACUAGGUGUGGGGGGCCUUUCCGGGUUCUUCCGCGCCGUAGCUAACGCAUUAAGUGCCCCGCCUGGGGAGUACGG